GUUGAAGUGGCUGAGUUAAAAGCGGUAAAUUGUAAAUUUAUGAACGAAAAUUAUUUUCCUUUAACA
rnacentral:tRNA from 1 species